CCGAGUUUACAACUCCCAAACCCAAUGUGAACGUUACCAAACUGUUGCCUCGGCGGGGUCACGCCCCGGGUGCGUCGCAGCCCCGGAACCAGGCGCCCGCCGGAGGAACCAACCAAACUCUUUCUGUAGUCCCCUCGCGGACGUAUUUCUUACAGCUCUGAGCAAAAAUUCAAAAUGAAUCAAAACUUUCAACAACGGAUCUCUUGGUUCUGGCAUCGAUGAAGAACGCAGCGAAAUGCGAUAAGUAAUGUGAAUUGCAGAAUUCAGUGAAUCAUCGAAUCUUUGAACGCACAUUGCGCCCGCCAGUAUUCUGGCGGGCAUGCCUGUCCGAGCGUCAUUUCAACCCUCGAACCCCUCCGGGGGAUCGGCGUUGGGGAUCGGGACCCCUCACACGGGUGCCGGCCCCGAAAUACAGUGGCGGUCUCGCCGCAGCCUCUCCUGCGCAGUAGUUUGCACAACUCGCACCGGGAGCGCGGCGCGUCCACGUCCGUAAAACACCCAACUUUCUGAAAUGUUGACCUCGGAUCAGGUAGGAAUACCCGCUGAACUUAAGCAUAUCAAAA
rnacentral:rRNA from 1 species